UACAGAGGGGGCAAGCGUUAUUCGGAAUUAUUGGGCGUAAAGGGCGCGUAGGCGGCCAUUCAAGUGACGGGUGAAAGCCCUCGGCUUAACCGAGGAACUGCCUGUCAGACUGGAUGGCUUGAGACCGGGAGAGGUGAGUGGAAUUCCCAGUGUAGCGGUGAAAUGCGUAGAUAUUGGGAGGAACACCAGUGGCGAAAGGCGGCUCAC
rnacentral:rRNA from 1 species